GUUAGGUACACUACAGAUUGAGCUCGGCUCCUUCUUUUUAACCGGGGAACCGCUCCACGUUGAGUAGGAGUGGCGAACGGGUGAGGGCACGUGGGUAACCUGCCCAUCAGAAGGGGAUAACACUUGGAAACAGGUGCUAAUACCGUAUAACAAUCGAAACCGCAUGGUUUUGAUUUGAAAGGCGCUUUCGGGUGUCGCUGAUGGAUGGACCCGCGGUGCAUUAGCUAGUUGGUGAGGUAACGGCUCACCAAGGCGACGAUGCAUAGCCGACCUGAGAGGGUGAUCGGCCACAUUGGGACUGAGACACGGCCCAAACUCCUACGGGAGGCAGCAGUAGGGAAUCUUCGGCAAUGGACGAAAGUCUGACCGAGCAACGCCGCGUGAGUGAAGAAGGUUUUCGGAUCGUAAAACUCUGUUGUUAGAGAAGAACAAGGAUGAGAGUAACUGUUCAUCCCUUGACGGUAUCUAACCAGAAAGCCACGGCUAACUACGUGCCAGCAGCCGCGGUAAUACGUAGGUGGCAAGCGUUGUCCGGAUUUAUUGGGCGUAAAGCGAGCGCAGGCGGUUUCUUAAGUCUGAUGUGAAAGCCCCCGGCUCAACCGGGGAGGGUCAUUGGAAACUGGGAGACUUGAGUGCAGAAGAGGAGAGUGGAAUUCCAUGUGUAGCGGUGAAAUGCGUAGAUAUAUGGAGGAACACCAGUGGCGAAGGCGGCUCUCUGGUCUGUAACUGACGCUGAGGCUCGAAAGCGUGGGGAGCAAACAGGAUUAGAUACCCUGGUAGUCCACGCCGUAAACGAUGAGUGCUAAGUGUUGGAGGGUUUCCGCCCUUCAGUGCUGCAGCUAACGCAUUAAGCACUCCGCCUGGGGAGUACGACCGCAAGGUUGAAACUCAAAGGAAUUGACGGGGGCCCGCACAAGCGGUGGAGCAUGUGGUUUAAUUCGAAGCAACGCGAAGAACCUUACCAGGUCUUGACAUCCUUUGACCACUCUAGAGAUAGAGCUUCCCCUUCGGGGGCAAAGUGACAGGUGGUGCAUGGUUGUCGUCAGCUCGUGUCGUGAGAUGUUGGGUUAAGUCCCGCAACGAGCGCAACCCUUAUUGUUAGUUGCCAUCAUUUAGUUGGGCACUCUAGCAAGACUGCCGGUGACAAACCGGAGGAAGGUGGGGAUGACGUCAAAUCAUCAUGCCCCUUAUGACCUGGGCUACACACGUGCUACAAUGGGAAGUACAACGAGUCGCAAAGUCGCGAGGCUAAGCUAAUCUCUUAAAGCUUCUCUCAGUUCGGAUUGUAGGCUGCAACUCGCCUACAUGAAGCCGGAAUCGCUAGUAAUCGCGGAUCAGCACGCCGCGGUGAACCGUUCCCGGGCCUUGCCACACCGCCCAAUCAACACAAGAAACCCAACAGAGGAAGUCAGGCUCAAAAAUUGGGACAAGGUAGCCUGUAGAGUAUCCC
rnacentral:rRNA from 1 species